CCUACGGGGGGCAGCAGUCGAGAAUCAUUCACAAUGGGGGAAACCCUGAUGGUGCGACGCCGCGUGGGGGAAUGAAGGUCUUCGGAUUGUAAACCCCUGUCAUGUGGGAGCAAAUUAAAAAGAUAGUACCACAAGAGGAAGAGACGGCUAACUCUGUGCCAGAAGCCGCGGUAAUACAGAGGUCUCAAGCGUUGUUCGGAAUCACUGGGCGUAAAGCGUGCGUAGGCUGUUUCGUAAGUCGUGUGUGAAAGGCGCGGGCUCAACCCGCGGAGGGCACAGGAUACUGCGUGACUAGAGUAGUGGAGGGGGAACGGGAAGGCGCGGUGUAGCAGUGAAAUGCGUAGAUAUGGAGAGGAACAC
rnacentral:rRNA from 1 species